rnacentral:sRNA from 1 species
CCCUAGCCCUGAUGGAAGGGAAAAUCCUUUUUAUUUUUCCUUUAAAAAUAAAAAGAUUGGAAUGACAGCAGGAAUAGCU